GUUUUGGGCUCCGUGAGCCGAAAGGGGGAGGGGAGACGAAGGAGAAGCAAACACUGCGCAGCGGGACCGUGCGCGGCCUCCGCUCCUGCGUGCGUGCGCUCGCUCGCGCGGGCUCAGUGCUGGCGCGUGAGGCGGAGGCGGGCGGCGGCGGCGGCGCCUGCGCGGUCGGACUCGGUCGACGGUUCGCAGGGGAGGAGGCGGCGGGAGGCGGAGGAGGCGGCGGCGGCGAUGGAGGUGAAGCGGCUGAAAGUGACCGAGCUGCGGUCGGAGCUGCAGCGGCGGGGCCUGGACUCGCGCGGCCUCAAGGUGGAUCUGGCGCAGCGGCUGCAGGAGGCGCUGGACGCCGAGAUGCUCGAGGACGAGGCCGGCGGCGGCGGGGCCGGGCCCGGCGGGGCCUGCAAGGCGGAGCCUCGGCCUGUGGCCGCGUCGGGCGGCGGCCCGGGCGGGGACGAGGAGGAGGACGAAGAGGAGGAGGAGGAGGACGAGGAGGCGCUGCUUGAGGACGAGGACGAGGAGCCACCCCCUGCUCAAGCCUUGGGUCAGGCCGCGCAGCCGCCGCCGGAGCCCCCGGAGGCGGCAGCCAUGGAGGCCGCGGCCGAGCCAGAUGCUUCCGAGAAGCCGGCGGAGGCCACGGCCGGGUCAGGCGGGGUAAAUGGUGGCGAAGAGCAGGGCCUCGGCAAGAGGGAGGAAGACGAACCCGAGGAGCGGAGCGGGGACGAGACGCCGGGAUCCGAGGUGCCGGGUGACAAGGCCGCCGAGGAACAGGGAGAUGACCAGGAUAGUGAAAAGUCAAAACCAGCAGGCUCAGAUGGUGAGCGGCGGGGGGUAAAGAGACAGCGGGAUGAGAAGGAUGAACAUGGCCGAGCUUACUAUGAAUUCCGAGAGGAGGCUUACCACAGCCGCUCAAAGUCUCCACUGCCUCCUGAAGAAGAGGCAAAAGAUGAGGAGGAGGAUCAAACUCUUGUGAACCUGGACACGUAUACCUCGGAUCUGCAUUUUCAAGUGAGCAAAGACCGCUAUGGAGGGCAGCCACUUUUCUCAGAGAAGUUCCCCACCCUUUGGUCUGGGGCAAGGAGUACUUACGGAGUGACAAAGGGAAAAGUCUGCUUUGAGGCAAAGGUAACCCAGAAUCUCCCAAUGAAAGAAGGCUGCACAGAGGUCUCUCUCCUUCGAGUUGGGUGGUCUGUUGAUUUUUCCCGUCCACAGCUUGGUGAAGAUGAAUUCUCUUACGGUUUCGAUGGACGAGGACUCAAGGCAGAAAAUGGACAAUUUGAGGAAUUUGGCCAGACUUUUGGGGAGAAUGAUGUUAUUGGCUGCUUUGCUAAUUUUGAGACUGAAGAAGUAGAACUUUCCUUCUCCAAGAAUGGAGAAGACCUAGGUGUGGCAUUCUGGAUCAGCAAGGAUUCCCUGGCAGACCGGGCCCUUCUACCCCAUGUCCUCUGCAAAAAUUGUGUUGUAGAAUUAAACUUCGGUCAGAAGGAGGAGCCCUUCUUCCCACCACCAGAAGAGUUUGUGUUCAUUCAUGCUGUGCCUGUUGAGGAGCGUGUACGCACUGCAGUCCCUCCCAAGACCAUAGAGGAAUGUGAGGUGAUUCUGAUGGUGGGACUACCCGGAUCUGGAAAGACCCAGUGGGCACUGAAAUAUGCAAAAGAAAACCCUGAGAAAAGAUACAAUGUCCUGGGAGCUGAGACUGUGCUCAAUCAAAUGAGGAUGAAGGGUCUCGAGGAGCCAGAGAUGGACCCCAAAAGCCGAGACCUUUUAGUUCAGCAAGCCUCCCAGUGCCUUAGUAAGCUGGUCCAGAUUGCUUCCCGGACAAAGAGGAACUUUAUUCUUGAUCAGUGUAAUGUGUACAAUUCUGGCCAACGGCGGAAGCUAUUGCUGUUCAAGACCUUCUCUCGGAAAGUGGUGGUGGUUGUCCCUAAUGAGGAAGAUUGGAAGAAGAGGCUGGAGUUGAGGAAGGAAGUAGAGGGAGAUGAUGUGCCUGAAUCUAUAAUGCUGGAGAUGAAAGCCAACUUCUCUUUGCCUGAAAAAUGCGACUAUAUGGAUGAGGUGACAUAUGGGGAGCUGGAGAAGGAGGAAGCUCAGCCCAUUGUCACUAAGUACAAGGAGGAGGCAAGGAAGCUUCUGCCCCCCUCCGAGAAGCGGACAAAUCGCCGAAACAACCGAAACAAGCGUAACCGGCAGAACCGAAGCCGGGGCCAAGGCUAUGUGGGCGGGCAGCGCCGAGGCUACGACAACCGGGCCUACGGGCAGCAGUACUGGGGGCAGCCUGGAAACAGAGGGGGUUACCGUAAUUUCUAUGAUCGAUACAGGGGAGACUAUGAUCGAUUUUACGGGCGAGAUUAUGAGUACAACAGAUACAGAGACUAUUACAGACAAUACAAUCGGGAUGGACCCUCCAUUUUCCAUAUCCAGGAAAAUGUGAUGCGCCACAGGUAUCAGCGUCUGGAUCGCCACUUCACGUUUUAGCCACAAGUGACUCAGUGGAAGAUCCAGAGUCAACAGAGGCUCGUCAGGAAGAUGUCUACAGAAAAGGUAGACCAAAAGGAGGAAGCUGGGGAAAAAGAGGUGUGCGGAGACCAGAUCAAAGGACCGGACAAAGAGGAGGAACCACCAGCUGCUGCAUCCCAUGGCCAGGGGUGGCGUCCAGGUGGCAGAGCAGCUAGGAACGCAAGGCCUGAACCUGGGGCCAGACACCCUGCUCUCCCGGCCAUGGUCAACGACCCUCCAGUACCUGCCUUACUGUGGGCCCAGGAGGUGGGCCAAGUCUUGGCAGGCCGUGCCCGCAGGCUGCUGCUGCAGUUUGGGGUGCUCUUCUGCACCAUCCUCCUUUUGCUCUGGGUGUCUGUCUUCCUCUAUGGCUCCUUCUACUAUUCCUAUAUGCCGACAGUCAGCCACCUCAGCCCUGUGCAUUUCUACUACAGGACCGACUGUGAUUCCUCCACCACCUCACUCUGCUCCUUCCCUGUUGCCAAUGUCUCGCUGACUAAGGGUGGACGUGAUCGGGUGCUGAUGUAUGGACAGCCGUAUCGUGUUACCUUAGAGCUUGAGCUGCCAGAGUCCCCUGUGAAUCAAGAUUUGGGCAUGUUCUUGGUCACCAUUUCCUGCUACACCAGAGGUGGCCGAAUCAUCUCCACUUCUUCGCGUUCGGUGAUGCUGCAUUACCGCUCAGACCUGCUCCAGAUGCUGGACACACUGGUCUUCUCUAGCCUCCUGCUAUUUGGCUUUGCAGAGCAGAAGCAGCUGCUGGAGGUGGAACUCUACGCAGACUAUAGAGAGAACUCGUACGUGCCGACCACUGGAGCGAUCAUUGAGAUCCACAGCAAGCGCAUCCAGCUGUAUGGAGCCUACCUCCGCAUCCACGCGCACUUCACUGGGCUCAGAUACCUGCUAUACAACUUCCCGAUGACCUGCGCCUUCAUAGGUGUUGCCAGCAACUUCACCUUCCUCAGCGUCAUCGUGCUCUUCAGCUACAUGCAGUGGGUGUGGGGGGGCAUCUGGCCCCGACACCGCUUCUCUUUGCAGGUUAACAUCCGAAAAAGAGACAAUUCCCGGAAGGAAGUCCAACGAAGGAUCUCUGCUCAUCAGCCAGGGCCUGAAGGCCAGGAGGAGUCAACUCCGCAAUCAGAUGUUACAGAGGAUGGUGAGAGCCCUGAAGAUCCCUCAGGGACAGAGGGUCAGCUGUCCGAGGAGGAGAAACCAGAUCAGCAGCCCCUGAGCGGAGAAGAGGAGCUAGAGCCUGAGGCCAGUGAUGGUUCAGGCUCCUGGGAAGAUGCAGCUUUGCUGACGGAGGCCAACCUGCCUGCUCCUGCUCCUGCUUCUGCUUCUGCCCCUGUCCUAGAGACUCUGGGCAGCUCUGAACCUGCUGGGGGUGCUCUCCGACAGCGCCCCACCUGCUCUAGUUCCUGAAGAAAAGGGGCAGACUCCUCACAUUCCAGCACUUUCCCACCUGACUCCUCUCCCCUCGUUUUUCCUUCAAUAAACUAUUUUGUGUCAGCUUCUUCCUUGACUCUG